rnacentral:rRNA from 1 species
AUUGAACGCUGGCGGAAUGCUUUACACAUGCAAGUCGAACGGCAGCACGGGGCAACCUGGUGGCGAGUGGCGAACGGGUGAGUAAUAUAUCGGAACGUGCCCAAUCGUGGGGGAUAACGUAGCGAAAGUUACGCUAAUACCGCAUACGAUCUACGGAUGAAAGCGGGGGAUCGCAAGACCUCGCGCGAAUGGAGCGGCCGAUAUCAGAUUAGGUAGUUGGUGGGGUAAAGGCUCACCAAGCCAACGAUCUGUAGCUGGUCUGAGAGGACGACCAGCCACACUGGAACUGAGACACGGUCCAGACUCCUACGGGAGGCAGCAGUGGGGAAUUUUGGACAAUGGGCGCAAGCCUGAUCCAGCCAUUCCGCGUGCAGGAUGAAGGCCUUCGGUUGUAACUAGCUUUUGUACGGUAACGAAACGGUCUGCCCUAACUACGGCGGCGUAAUGACGGUACCGUAAGAAUAAGCACCGGCUAACUACGUGCCAGCAGCCGCGGUAACACGAG